rnacentral:rRNA from 1 species
AACGAACGCUGGCGGCGCGUCUUACGCAUGCAAGUCGAACGGCAAGACAGGAGCUUGUUUCUCUCCUAGAGUGGCGGACUGGUGCGGAACACGUGGGUAAUCUACCCUUAAGUUGCGUGUAGCUGCUCGAAAUAGAGGGUACUACAGUAUACCCUCGGCAUAUCACAAGAGGUCAUGAGGAAAUGAAGCUUCGGCUUCUCUUGAGGAUGAGCUUGCGUCCCAUUAGCUAGUUGGUGAGGUAAAGGCCCACCAAGGCGACGAUGGGUAUCCGGCCUGAGAGGGUGAACGGACACAUUGGGACUGAGAUACGGCCCAAACUCCUACGGGAGGCAGCAGCUAAGAAUAUUCCGCAAUGGACGGAAGUCUGACGGAGCGACGCCGCGUGGAUGAAGAAGGCUGAAAAGUUGUAAAAUCCUUUUGUUGAUGAAGAAUAAGGGUGAGAGGGAAUGCUCAUCUGAUGACGGUAAUCGACGAAUAAGCCCCGGCUAAUUACGUG